rnacentral:rRNA from 1 species
UACAGAGGGUGCAAGCGUUGUUCGGAAUUCUUGGGCGUAAAGCGCGUGUAGGCGGCUUUGCAAGUCGGGUGUGAAAGCCCUCAGCUCAACUGAGGAAGUGCGCCCGAAACUGCAGAGCUUGAGUACCGGAGAGGAUGGCGGAAUUCCCCAAGUAGAGGUGAAAUUCGUAGAUAUGGGGAGGAACACCGGUGGCGAAGGCGGCCAUCUGGACGGAUACUGACGCUGAGACGCGAAAGCGUGGGGAGCAAACAGG